UCUUGACUAGUAUAUCGGUUUAGUACACCCGCUUGUCAUGACGUAGGGACAGAAGUGUUACGCGGGAGAGCAGGGUUCGACUCCCUGGUCGAGAG